GCGGGUGUGGCGGAACUGGCAUACGCGCUGGACUUAGGAUCCAGUGGGUUUUUCCCUUGGAGGUUCAAAUCCUCUCACCCGCACCA
rnacentral:tRNA from 1 species